rnacentral:rRNA from 1 species
UAACAUGCAAGUCGAACGGCAGCACGGACUUCGGUCUGGUGGCGAGUGGCGAACGGGUGAGUAAUGCGCCGGAACGUAUCCAGUAGAGGGGGAUAACGCAGCGAAAGCUGUGCUAAUACCGCAUACGCCCUGAGGGGGAAAGCAUGGGAUCUUCGGACCAUGCGUUAUUGGAGCGGCCGACGUCUGAUUAGCUAGUAGGUGAGGUAAAGGCUCACCUAGGCGAUGAUCAGUAGCUGGUCUGAGAGGAUGAUCAGCCACACUGGAACUGAGAGACGGUCCAGACUCCUACGGGAGGCAGCAGUGGGGAAUUUUGGACAAUGGGCGCAAGCCUGAUCCAGCCAUUCCGCGUGAGUGAAGAAGGCCUUCGGGUUGUAAAGCUCUUUCGGCAGGGAAGAAAAGGUUCUGGUUAAUAACUGGAACUGCUGACGGUACCUGAAGAAGAAGCACCGGCUAACUACGUGCCAGCAGCCGCGGUAAUACGUAGGGUGCGAGCGUUAAUCGGAAUUACUGGGCGUAAGGGGUGCGCAGGCGGCUCUGUAAGUCUGACGUGAAAUCCCCGGGCUUAACCUGGGAACUGCGUUGGAAACUGUAGAGCUAGAGUGUAGCAGAGGGGGGUAGAAUUCCACGUGUAGCAGUGAAAUGCGUAGAGAUGUGGAGGAAUACCGAUGGCGAAGGCAGCCCCCUGGGUUAACACUGACGCUCAGGCACGAAAGCGUGGGUAGCAAACAGGAUUAGAUACCCUGGUAGUCCACGCCCUAAACGAUGUCAACUAGUUGUUGGGGAGGGAGACCUCCUUGGUAACGCAGCUAACGCGUGAAGUUGACCGCCUGGGGAGUACGGUCGCAAGAUUAAAACUCAAAGGAAUUGACGGGGGCCCGCACAAGCGGUGGAUUAUGUGGAUUAAUUCGAUGCAACGCGAAAAACCUUACCUACCCUUGACAUGUACGGAAGACUGCAGAG